AACGAACGCUGGCGGCGUGCCUAACACAUGCAAGUCGAGCGCGAAAGUCCCUUCGGGGGCGAGUAGAGCGGCGGACGGGUGAGUAAUACGUGGAUAAUCUGCCCUUGAGCUUGGGAUAACCCCGCGAAAGUGGGGCUAAUACCAGAUAAGACCACGUGACCCAGGUCACGGGGUAAAAGGUGGCUUGUAUUUAUACUUGCUAUCACUUGAGGAUGAGUCCACGGCCUAUCAGCUUGUUGGUGAGGUAACGGCUCACCAAGGCUAUGACGGGUAGCUGGUCUGAGAGGACGAUCAGCCACACUGGGACUGAGACACGGCCCAGACUCCUACGGGAGGCUG
rnacentral:rRNA from 1 species